rnacentral:rRNA from 1 species
GACGAACGCUGGCGGCGUGCUUAACACAUGCAAGUCGAACGGUGAAGCAGAGCUUGCUCUGUGGAUCAGUGGCGAACGGGUGAGUAACACGUGAGUAACCUGCCCUUGACUCUGGGAUAAGCGUUGGAAACGACGUCUAAUACCGGAUACGAGCUGAGACCGCAUGGUCAUCAGUUGGAAAGAUUUUUUGGUCAAGGAUGGACUCGCGGCCUAUCAGCUUGUUGGUGAGGUAAUGGCUCACCAAGGCGACGACGGGUAGCCGGCCUGAGAGGGUGACCGGCCACACUGGGACUGAGACACGGACCAGACUCCAACGGGAGGCAAAAGUGGGGAAUAUUGCACAAUGGGCGCAAGCCGGAUGAAGCAACGCCGCGGGAGGGAUGACGGCCUGCGGGUUGUAAACCUCUUUUAGUAGGGAAGAAGCGAAAGUGACGGUACCUGCAGAAAAAGCACCGGCUAACUACGUG